AAAAUAGUCUUUACAAAAAGUCAAAAGGAACCUCAACCUUUUGGGAAAAAGAUUUUUGCUUUUAUAAAAGCUAAAGAAAAAGCGACCUUGUUGACUAUUGAGUCCUCAAGGAUGGUUGUUGAUUGCCAGGGUUCGCUUCACAUCCGACCUUACUCAUAUUCAUAGAUAUAAUGCCGAUAAAGAGUGUAUAUAACUUUGAAAAUUUUAUUUCCGGCAAAAAUUUUGCACAUAGUCAAAAUCUCUGCGUGUGUGACUUUGUGUGAUCAAUGUAUACAUACAUUUGUGUAUAUAUACCUACAGUUACAACUUAUUAACAUGUAUCAAUCUAUAUAUCCAUUCUCGCUCUGAUACUACACGGUGCACAUGUCAUUCGAAGUAACUCCGUGGGUAUAACGCUUGUUUCCGCUUCAUAUCUCCGUGACGCGCAACGAUUCUGAUGAGGUAUUAGCUAUGGAAGAUGUGGACGGAAAAUUAAAGAUGAAUGACUUACUCGGAGGAAAUUCUGUUAGUGGCUCAUUGUUUGUCUGCCUGAACUUGUGCUGCAUCCAAUCUAGUAGCUGCAAUGAAGAUAAUUAACAGGUCUAGUUUUGAGAGAUCAGUGAGUAAUCAGUUUUCGGAUAUAGAGAAUUAGGAUGACAGCUUUUUAUUCUAUCGUGAUGAAGAUACGCCCGUGGAUAAUAGUCCAGAAGGUGUUAAAGUUCCAAUCCAUGACUGGUGGACAAGAACAUAGGGAAAAUAACAAAUCUUUGGGGUUGUAUGCAUGUGCAAAGAUCAAAUAAUUCGGCCAAUAAUAUCUGGACCAACACGUUGACGUUUUUAUGUUAGUUUUGCAUGUGGUAGGAGCCCAGGGUUGCAUUAAUGUAAUGGCUAGUCUUAAAAUAAGGGGUGCAUCUAGUGGUCACAUAGUUUCACCUAUCAUGUGAUUUACUGAUAUGUAGUGAGAUGCAUGGAGCCUUUAGCUGUUACUAGGUUACAGCAUUUCACACAAUCAACUACCUCUUGUACCUUGCAUGUUAUUCCGCUUGCAUUAAAAUAAAUUUGGCUGAUUUUCAAGC